rnacentral:rRNA from 1 species
CCUACGGGAGGCAGCAGUGGGGAAUAUUGCACAAUGGGGGAAACCCUGAUGCAGCGACGCCGCGUGAGUGAAGAAGGAAUUCGUUAUGUAAAGCUCUAUCAGCAGGGAAGAAAAUGACGGUACCUGAGUAAGAAGCCCCGGCUAACUACGUGCCAGCAGCCGCGGUAAUACGUAGGGUGCAAGCGUUAUCCGGAUUUACUGGGUGUAAAGGGAGCGUAGACGGCAGUGCAAGUCUGGAGUGAAAGGCUGGGGCUCAACCCCCGGACUGCUCUGGAAACUGUACGGCUGGAGUGCAGGAGAGGUAAGUGGAAUUCCUGGUGUAGCGGUGAAAUGCGUAGAUAUUAGGAGGAACACCAGUGGCGAAGGCAGCUUACUAGACUGUAACUGACGUUGAGGCUCGAAAGCGUGGGGAGCAAACAGGAUUAGAUACCCCAGUAGUC